CUCAGAUCAGGCAAGAUUACCCGCUGAGU
rnacentral:rRNA from 3 species